AUUAUGAGAUGUUUUCAUUAUUGCAAAAGAGAAUCAGGGUCAGGUAAACGGGAGCUUUACUAUAGGAAAUCUGUAUAUCUUUUUCAAUAAUGAAAACAUCUUGAUAACUGACCAUUUCAGAAUCGUAUUACAUAUUCUGAAACUAUAUAAAAAAGAAAUGAACACUGUCUUUUUUAUUUCAGUUGUCUUUUUUACAAAUGAAUGCUAUAAACACAUAAACUUCAUCAAAUAUUUUGAUCAGUGCAACAUUGUUUCUUUUUCGUUAAUGCUACAGUAUGCUUUCUCACAGAAUCCUGACUGAAGCCAGUGGCCUUUAUCCAGCUUCAGCUGACACACAUGUAGCAUCGACACAAGGAUUCAUGUCAUCGGAAACUACCGGAAAGAAACGGGAAAACAACAGUAUACAGCACAGUACAUGAACAUACCGAGAAACCUGUAGAAAACAUUAGUAUUGUCAGCAGUGAAGCCCUGUUAUCGGUUAAACUACGUGUGUACGGCAUUGCUAAAAUCAGACCCAUCCAGCGGUCCAGAAUCCAAACCGUCGACCCAGUGACAAUGAGAUGAGAUGGUCUCCAGACGUCUCAAGAGAAUGGGUUGUUGCGAUUGGACCCUGCAGUUUGAGGCAACAGUCCUUUGGUACAGACACAAGGCCAAUGACAGAACGCUUGCGAAGCGAUGCGUGAGAACUUUUAUUAGCACCACUCUUAAAAUGAGAGUUUUAUUCAAAAGCACAUGCAUUCAAGCUCGACGGAUGGUGAAAGAAGCGCUUUGAUGAAACCUCAAAUCAAAGCAAUCAAGGCAAUGACGAUCAUCAAUUUUUUUUUUGGUAUGCUGGAUAAACAGACAUUCUGAAUGUGAUUAUAGAGGAUAUGAUGAUUAUAAAUCUGUAAUCCAGGUGAAUAAAACUCGCCUAUGAAAUGCAUUUAUGUUCCCAUGAUGAAAUGCGCGCUGGAUUUGUAUUAACAUCUGUCUUGAACAAGGUCUGCAUCUUUUGGGAGCGUAGCAAAAUAACCAAACAGGACGGAAAAAGCACACGUUUCACUUUCACAAAACAGUCAGACGAUUGUAUUUACAACAUACAACCCAAGAAAAAAGGGAUACUGCAGCUUUCUUUUUUGUCCUUUUACUCGUUUCUUUGAAAAGGGCAUUAAAAUAUAUUAAAACUUAUGUACAAUAUGCAGGACUUUAACAUUAAAGCGCUAUGAAUUUACCGGGAUUUGUUUUGCAGAUUCGACCGACAGCUUUUUCGAGAACUAAAGGGUUGAAAACACCCAGAAAACAACAGAGGAGGCCAAAAAAGAUGUACCAAAGGCACUGACUGAACCAUACUCAGAAUGCAACAGGGCUGGAUGAUUUUCCACCCCGUUUGAUCCUUGCCCUACCAUGGGGUAUUAACCUUCCCUUGGCCGUAUAUGGUUCUUUUUUUUUUUUUUACACAUCUCCUUAAAGCGCAAAGCA